GACGAACGCUGGCGGCGUGCUUAACACAUGCAAGUCGAGCGGUAAGGCCCUUCGGGGUACACGAGCGGCGAACGGGUGAGUAACACGUGAGCAAUCUGCCCUUCACUCUGGGAUAGCCACCGGAAACGGUGAUUAAUACCGGAUAUGACCCUGCCAGGCAUCUGGUGGGGUGGAAAGUUCUGGCGGUGAAGGAUGGGCUCGCGGCCUAUCAGCUUGUUGGUGAGGUAAUGGCCCACCAAGGCUUCGACGGGUAGCCGGCCUGAGAGGGUGACCGGCCACACUGGGACUGAGACACGGCCCAGACUCCUACGGGAGGCAGCAGUGGGGAAUAUUGGACAAUGGGCGAAAGCCUGAUCCAGCAACGCCGCGUGAGGGAUGACGGCCUUCGGGUUGUAAACCUCUUUCAGCAGGGACGAAGCGAAAGUGACGGUACCUGCAGAAGAAGCACCGGCCAACUACGUGCCAGCCGCCGCCGUAA
rnacentral:rRNA from 1 species